UCCUGGGUUGGGAAGAUGCCCUGGAGGAGACCAUGGCAACCCACUCCAGUGUUCUUGCCUGGAGGAUCCUAUGGACAGAGGACCCUGGUGGGCUACAGUCCACAGUGUCACAGAGUCGGAUGUGACUGUAGCCACUCAGCACGCACACACCCUUCUCAUCGACCAGAGUCUUUGCCAGCCUUGGAGCCAGGAAUAUGAAUAUGAAUAGGACAUGGACCCUACCAUCAAGAAGCUCACAAUCUGAUAUGGGAGACAUCAAACCAAAAGUCAAUGUGAUGAGAAAAAAACAAGGCUGAGAACCAAGCACUUUGGACACUCAGAAGUAGGAGUGCUUGCUUUUGUCCAACGUUACCUGGGAAGAUUUGCAGAUGACACAGCUUCUGUGCUGCUCCCCAUAGUUGGAUGGCAUCACUGACUCAGUGGACAUGAGUUUGAACAAGCUCCAGGAGAUGGUGAAGGACAGGGAAGCCUGGUGUGCUGCGGUCCAUGGGGUCACAAAAAGUUGGACACGACUGAGCGACUGAACAAUAACAACAACCCAUUGCUCUCCCAUCACUCCCAGAUGGGACCAUCUAGCUGCAGGAAAACAAGCUCAGGGCGCCCACUGAUACUGCAUUAUGGUGAAUUGUAUAAUCAUUUCAUUAUAUAUCACAAUGUAAUAAGAACAAAGUCCAUAAUAAAUGUAAUACUCUUGAAUCACCCUGAAACCAUCACCCCACUCCCAGUCUGUGGAAAAAUUGUAUUCCAUGGAACCAGUCCCUGGUGCCAAAAAGCUACACAUGACAGGUAUUUGGGAAAACUUUAGUUCAACUUCCUCAUUUUAUGUAUAAGAAAAUACAGGAUAUCAAAACAGUUUUCUUCCCUAUUACCCAACCCGUUUAUCUCCCUGGGUUUUUGGAUUUUUGUUAGUGGCAUUAUCAACUAUGCAGUUGUCUAAGUAAUACAGUCUUGGAUCAACUCUGACACGUGUUUUUUCCUCACCAGUUAUAUCAGGUCAGUUGCCACUGCUCAAGUUCAAGUUCUCAUUGUCUCUUAUCCAAACCUCUGAAAUAGGAUUAUGUCCUCUAGACAGAUGAUCGCUUUUAUAAUCUUAUCCUAAUCUGUUUUCAUGCUCUGCAUUCUUUUAUUUUAACCAUAAAUAUGAUCUGGUCAUUCUUCUUACAAUCUGAAAAGACUUCUGGUCAUUCUUAAAACACUUUCCUGGCUUGCAUCAGUUAAGGCCCUAGCAGGAAACAGCUGAUAUACUCCAAUUGGGGAAGUGAGGAGUGUUUGAUAAAAUGAUAAUUUGCAAAGGUGUGGCCAGAAUAUAAAGACACCAUACAUGAUGUGGCAGUAGGCUGGGCCAAUGACAUCAGGCCUGUUACCAGCCUAGGCUGGAAGGAGGAAGACUGAGAAGAGGUACAGCUGAGGUCUACAUAGGGCCCCUCAUGGACCCAUCACUGCCGCCAGCCAGCUAGAAUGGUGCUGGAGCCAUAAUCCUGGCUGGAGCCAGGAUUAUGAUUACCCAGCCCCCUCUCUCUUUCCUCCCUCAAGGUACCCUCCACUUCAACCAAACAUAAUAUAAAUUCAGAUGACAAGGGAGCCCUUAAUGCAAUCCAUAAAGGCCAGUUCUCUAGAUGCUGGGAGAGACAGACAGAUAGACAGCACUUAUCCCAACUUUAUCAAUAAAUUGAAAACUCCUUAAUAGUCAUUCAAAACCCUUAACCACCUCUCUACCACAUACUUUUAUCACAAGUGUAAUGUAACUUGUUCUCCUCCAUAUUCUAUAGCUA